rnacentral:rRNA from 1 species
CAAUAGCGUAUAUUUAAGUUGCUGCAGUUAAAAAGCUCGUAGUUGGAUUUCGGGUGGGAAUGGCCGGUCCGCCGUUUCGGUGUGCACUUGCUACGCCCACCUUGCUGCCGGGGACGUGCUCUUGAGUUCACGCUCGGGACACGGAGUCGGCGAGGUUACUUUGAGUAAAUUAGAGGGUUCAAAGCAGGCCUACGCUCUGAAUACAUUAGCAUGGAAUAACACGAUAGGACUCUGGCCUAUCUUGUUGGUCUGUAGGACCGGAGUAAUGAUUAAGAGGGACAGUCGGGGGCAUUCGUAUUUCAUUGUCAGAGGUGAAAUUCUUGGAUUUAUGAAAGACGAACUACUGCGAAAGCAUUUGCCAAGGAUGUUUUCAUUAA